rnacentral:misc_RNA from 1 species
AAGUCGUAACAAGGUUUCCGUAGGUGAACCUGCGGAAGGAUCAUUAUAAAAUUUUUCUACAUAUUUUUAAAAUAUGUUAAAAAAAUAAAAUUAUGUAUUCAAAACCCACACACUUUUUAAACCCAUAUAAAAAAAUUAUUAUGUUCAUAUAUAUACAUAUAAUUUUUUUAUAUAAAAAAAUAUAUAUAAUUAAAAGACAACUUUCAACAACGGAUCUCUUGGCUCUCGC